AUUGCAUACACUCAGUCUUCAGGAGGAGGCAUCCCCUCUGGGUGCAGAACUUCCGCUGUGGCUGCUUGCUCAGGAUAAACUGGUGGGACCAUGACUCAUUUUGUCACUGGGACCACAGGAGGAGGGGCCAGAAGACAAUGAAGUGUGCGGUGAGCACUCUCACAUUUCGUUAGAUGCACCGUCUCUGAACCAGCUUACUCAGAACUUCAGGAUGGCGGUGUGCAGUUACCAACUGUUAAGUCAAAGAUUCUGGACUGUUUAGAGGUUCCCAAAGGGUUUGUCUAAACUCCACAGUGACACCACAGGAUGCGAAUACCAAGGAUCCAAACACUGAUAAACUCAGAGAAAGUCUUGGGCUGUGCCUCGGGAAAUCAUUGCCUCUAUGAAGUUGUCCAAGGCGAGCUUGAUAAGCCUCUGAAGGCACAGAAGAACUGUUUGGAGAGGGGCCUAUACAUCUCGAUCUACAGCUACAGCGUCACAUGCUACCCCUCAGAAACGGACCUUUUAAUGAUUUCAUCCUGUCAAAAAUCGCAUAUUUCAAAACAUUAGAAAGUUGACUUGCACAAAUAUAAAACAAGCAUGGAUCAGGAUGCUUCACCGUGUGCUCCAUAAGCUACUCAUCUGAUGUUUCAUAGGAAGCAGAAGAAAUUCCCAGCAAAGUGACCUGUGUUGCAAGACUCAAA
ensembl:lincRNA D6Ertd474e DNA segment, Chr 6, ERATO Doi 474, expressed